rnacentral:rRNA from 1 species
GACGAACGCUGGCGGCGUGCCUAAUACAUGCAAGUAGAACGCACAGUUUAUACCGUAGCUUGCUACACCAUAGACUGUGAGUUGCGAACGGGUGAGUAACGCGUAGGUAACCUGCCUGGUAGCGGGGGAUAACUAUUGGAAACGAUAGCUAAUACCGCAUAAUAUUAAUUAUUGCAUGAUAAUUAAUUGAAAGGUGCAAUUGCACCACUACCAGAUGGACCUGCGUUGUAUUAGCUAGUAGGUGAGGUAACGGCUCACCUAGGCGACGAUACAUAGCCGACCUGAGAGGGUGAUCGGCCACACUGGGACUGAGACACGGCCCAGACUCCUACGGGAGGCAGCAGUAGGGAAUCUUCGGCAAUGGACGAAAGUCUGACCGAGCAACGCCGCGUGAGUGAAGAGGGUUUUCGGAUCGUAAAGCCCUGUUGUAAGAGAAGAACGGGUGUGAGAGUGGAAAGUUCACACUGUGACGGUAGCUUACCAGAAAGGGACGGCUAACUACGUG